UACGUGGGGUGCGAGCGUUGUUCGGAAUUACUGGGCGUAAAGCGCGUGUAAGCGGCCUAUUAUGUCAGGUGUGAAAGCCCUCGGCCUAACCGAGGAAGUGCGCCUGAAACUGUUAGGCUUGAGUACGAGAGAGGAGGACGGAAUUCCCAGUGUAGAGGUGAAAUUCGUAGAUAUUGGGAGGAACACCGGCGGCGAAAGCGGUUCUCUGGAUCGAUACUGACGCUAAGACGCGAAAGCGUGGGGAGCUAACAGG
rnacentral:rRNA from 1 species